rnacentral:rRNA from 1 species
UACGUAGGCACCAAGCGUUGUCCGGAUUUAUUGGGCGUAAAGAGCUCGUAGGCGGUUCGGUAAGUCGGGUGUGAAAACUCUGGGCUCAACCCAGAGCCGCCACCCGAUACUGCUGUGACUCGAGUGCGGUAGGGGAGCGGGGAAUUCCUGGUGUAGCGGUGAAAUGCGCAGAUAUUGGGAGGAACACCAGUGGCGAAGGCGGCACUCUGGGCCAGUACUGACACUGAGGAGCGAAAGCGUGGGGAGCGAACAGG